GACGAACGCUGGCGGCGUGCCUAAUACAUGCAAGUCGAACGCUUCUUUUUCCACCGGAGCUUGCUCCACCGGAAAAAGAGGAGUGGCGAACGGGUGAGUAACACGUGGGUAACCUGCCCAUCAGAAGGGGAUAACACUUGGAAACAGGUGCUAAUACCGCAUAACAAUCGAAACCGCAUGGUUUUGAUUUGAAAGGCGCUUUCGGGUGUCGCUGAUGGAUGGACCCGCGGUGCAUUAGCUAGUUGGUGAGGUAACGGCUCACCAAGGCCACGAUGCAUAGCCGACCUGAGAGGGUGAUCGGCCACAUUGGGACUGAGACACGGCCCAAACUCCUACGGGAGGCAGCAGUAGGGAAUCUUCGGCAAUGGACGAAAGUCUGACCGAGCAACGCCGCGUGAGUGAAGAAGGUUUUCGGAUCGUAAAACUCUGUUAUUAGAGAAGAACAAGGAUGAGAGUAACUGUUCAUCCCUUGACGGUAUCUAACCAGAAAGCCACGGCUAACUACGUGCCAGCAGCCGCGGUAAUACGUAGGUGGCAAGCGUUGUCCGGAUUUAUUGGGCGUAAAGCGAGCGCAGGCGGUUUCUUAAGUCUGAUGUGAAAGCCCCCGGCUCAACCGGGGAGGGUCAUUGGAAACUGGGAGACUUGAGUGCAGAAGAGGAGAGUGGAAUUCCAUGUGUAGCGGUGAAAUGCGUAGAUAUAUGGAGGAACACCAGUGGCGAA
rnacentral:rRNA from 1 species